rfam:Lachancea lanzarotensis strain CBS 12615 genome assembly, scaffold: LALA0S02
UUUUAUGAUGAUGUAACAAAAACAAAGCUGGAAUUACUGGCUGAACGAUUAUAUGUUGAUAAGUUUUUGCACUAUUUCUGAAU